rnacentral:rRNA from 1 species
AUUGAACGCUGGCGGCAGGCUUAACACAUGCAAGUCGAGCGGAGAUGAGGUGCUUGCACCUUAUCUUAGCGGCGGACGGGUGAGUAAUGCUUAGGAAUCUGCCUAUUAGUGGGGGACAACAUUCCGAAAGGAAUGCUAAUACCGCAUACGUCCUACGGGAGAAAGCAGGGGAUCUUCGGACCUUGCGCUAAUAGAUGAGCCAAAGUCGGAUUAGCUAGUUGGUGGGGUAAAGGCCUACCAAGGCGACGAUCUGUAGCGGGUCUGAGAGGAUGAUCCGCCACUGGGACUGAGACACGGCCCAGACUCCUACGGGAGGCAGCAGUGGGGAAUAUUGGACAAUGGGGGGAACCCUGAUCCAGCCAUGCCGCGUGUGUGAAGAAGGCCUUAUGGUUGUAAAGCACUUUAAGCGAGGAGGAGGCUACUGAGACUAAUACUCUUGGAUAGUGGACGUUACUCGCAGAAUAAGCACCGGCUAACUCUGUGCCAGCCGCCGCCGUAA